UACGUAGGGGGCAAGCGUUGUCCGGAAUCAUUGGGCGUAAAGGGCGCGUAGGCGGCUUUGCAAGUGACGGGUGAAAUCCCUCGGCUUAACCGAGGAACUGCCUGUCAGACUGCAUUGCUUGAGUCCGGGAGAGGUGAGUGGAAUUCCCAGUGUAGCGGUGAAAUGCGUAGAUAUUGGGAGGAACACCAGUGGCGAAGGCGGCUCACUGGACCGGAACUGACGCUGAGGCGCGAAAGCGUGGGGAGCAAACAGG
rnacentral:rRNA from 1 species